rnacentral:misc_RNA from 1 species
GCUACAAAAUGGAUUCCUCAAGGCGGACCCUUCAGAGGAUAUCCGGUUGCUUAAUCUGUUUCAUUGUGCUUUGAUAUUUUCAUUGUUUGGAAUUUGGAUUCUAAAUUUUUCCAAUUCUAAUUAAGAAACCUAAACAAAUUUAAACUAGGAAAAUAAUAAUAAUCCUAAUAAUAGAAUCUAAUAGAAUAAUAAUAAUAAUAAUAGAAUUCCU